UACGAGGGGGGCGAGCGUUGUUCGGAAUUAUUGGGCGUAAAGGGUGCGUAGGCGGUUUGGUAAGUCUUAUGUGAAAUCUACAGGCUCAACUUGUAGUCUGCAUGAGAAACUGCCGGGCUUGAGUGUGGGAGAGGUGAGUGGAAUUCCUGGUGUAGCGGUGAAAUGCGUAGAUAUCAGGAGGAACACCUGUGGCGAAAGCGGCUCACUGGACCAUUACUGACGCUGAUGCACGAAAGCUAGGGGAGCAAACAGG
rnacentral:rRNA from 1 species